rnacentral:rRNA from 1 species
UGACAGCCCCGUACACAAAAAUGCACAUACUGUGAGCUCGAUGAGUAGGGCGGGACACGUGGUAUCCUGUCUGAAUAUGGGGGGACCAUCCUCCAAGGCUAAAUACUCCUGACUGACCGAUAGUGAACCAGUACCGUGAGGGAAAGGCGAAAAGAACCCCGGCGAGGGGAGUGAAAAAGAACCUGAAACCGUGUACGUACAAGCAGUGGGAGCACGCUUAGGCGUGUGACUGCGUACCUUUUGUAUAAUGGGUCAGCGACUUAUAUUCUGUAGCAAGGUUAACCGAAUAGGGGAGCCGAAGGGAAACCGAGUCUUAACUGGGCGUUAAGUUGCAGGGUAUAGACCCGAAACCCGGUGAUCUAGCCAUGGGCAGGUUGAAGGUUGGGUAACACUAACUGGAGGACCGAACCGACUAAUGUUGAAAAAUUAGCGGAUGACUUGUGGCUGGGGGUGAAAGGCCAAUCAAACCGGGAGAUAGCUGGUUCUCCCCGAAAGCUAUUUAGGUAGCGCCUCGUGAAUUCAUCUCCGGGGGUAGAGCACUGUUUCGGCAAGGGGGUCAUCCCGACUUACCAACCCGAUGCAAACUGCGAAUACCGGAGAAUGUUAUCACGGGAGACACACGGCGGGUGCUAACGUCCGUCGUGAAGAGGGAAACAACCCAGACCGCCAGCUAAGGUCCCAAAGUCAUGGUUAAGUGGGAAACGAUGUGGGAAGGCCCAGACAGCCAGGAUGUUGGCUUAGAAGCAGCCAUCAUUUAAAGAAAGCGUAAUAGCUCACUGGUCGAGUCGGCCUGCGCGGAAGAUGUAACGGGGCUAAACCAUGCACCGAAGCUGCGGCAGCGACGCUUAUGCGUUGUUGGGUA